rnacentral:rRNA from 1 species
UGGGUAACCUGCCCAGAAGCAGGGGAUAACACCUGGAAACAGAUGCUAAUACCGUAUAACAGAGAAAACCGCCUGGUUUUCUUUUAAAAGAUGGCUCUGCUAUCACUUCUGGAUGGACCCGCGGCGCAUUAGCUAGUUGGUGAGGUAACGGCUCACCAAGGCGAUGAUGCGUAGCCGACCUGAGAGGGUAAUCGGCCACAUUGGGACUGAGACACGGCCCAGACUCCUACGGGAGGCAGCAGUAGGGAAUCUUCCACAAUGGACGCAAGUCUGAUGGAGCAACGCCGCGUGAGUGAAGAAGGGUUUCGGCUCGUAAAGCUCUGUUGUUAAAGAAGAACGUGGGUGAGAGUAACUGUUCACCCAGUGACGGUAUUUAACCAGAAAGCCACGGCUAACUACGUGCCAGCAGCCGCGGUAAUACGUAGGUGGCAAGCGUUAUCCGGAUUUAUUGGGCGUAAAGCGAGCGCAGGCGGUCUUUUAAGUCUAAUGUGAAAGCCUUCGGCUCAACCGAAGAAGUGCAUUGGAAACUGGGAGACUUGAGUGCAGAAGAGGACAGUGGAACUCCAUGUGUAGCGGUGAAAUGCGUAGAUAUAUGGAAGAACACCAGUGGCGAAGGCGGCUGUCUGGUCUGUAACUGACGCUGAGGCUCGAAAGCAUGGGUAGCGAACAGGAUUAGAUACCCUGGUAGUCCAUGCCGUAAACGAUGAUUACUAAGUGUUGGAGGGUUUCCGCCCUUCAGUGCUGCAGCUAACGCAUUAAGUAAUCCGCCUGGGGAGUACGACCGCAAGGUUGAAACUCAAAAGAAUUGACGGGGGCCCGCACAAGCGGUGGAGCAUGUGGUUUAAUUCGAAGCUACGCGAAGAACCUUACCAGGUCUUGACAUCUUCUGCCAACCUAAGAGAUUAGGCGUUCCCUUCGGGGACAGAAUGACAGGUGGUGCAUGGUUGUCGUCAGCUCGUGUCGUGAGAUGUUGGGUUAAGUCCCGCAACGAGCGCAACCCUUAUUACUAGUUGCCAGCAUUCAGUUGGGCACUCUAGUGAGACUGCCGGUGACAAACCGGAGGAAGGUGGGGACGACGUCAAAUCAUCAUGCCCCUUAUGACCUGGGCUACACACGUGCUACAAUGGAUGGUACAACGAGUCGCGAAACCGCGAGGUUUAGCUAAUCUCUUAAAACCAUUCUCAGUUCGGACUGUAGGCUGCAACUCGCCUACACGAAGUCGGAAUCGCUAGUAAUCGCGGAU